rnacentral:rRNA from 2 species
UGGGGAAUAUUGCACAAUGGGCGCAAGCCUGAUGCAGCCAUGCCGCUUGUAUGAAGAAGGCCUUCGGGUUGUAAAGUACUUUCAGCGGGGAGGAAGGGAGUAAAGUUAAUACCUUUGCUCAUUGACGUUACCCGCAGAAGAAGCACCGGCUAACUCCGUGCCAGCAGCCGCGGUAAUACGGAGGGUGCAAGCGUUAAUCGGAAUUACUGGGCGUAAAGCGCACGCAGGCGGUUUGUUAAGUCAGAUGUGAAAUCCCCGGGCUCAACCUGGGAACUGCAUCUGAUACUGGCAAGCUUGAGUCUCGUAGAGGGGGGUAGAAUUCCAGGUGUAGCGGUGAAAUGCGUAGAGAUCUGGAGGAAUACCGGUGGCGAAGGCGGCCCCCUGGACGAAGACUGACGCUCAGGUGCGAAAGCGUGGGGAGCAAACAGG